rnacentral:rRNA from 1 species
GGGUUGUGAGGUUAAGCGACUAAGCGUACACGGUGGAUGCCCUGGCAGUCAGAGGCGAUGAAGGACGUGCUAAUCUGCGAAAAGCGUCGGUAAGGUGAUAUGAACCGUUAUAGCCGGCGAUGUCCGAAUGGGGAAACCCAGUGCAAUUCGUUGCACUAUCGUUAACUGAAUACAUAGGUUAACGAGGCGAACCGGGGGAACUGAAACAUCUAAGUACCCCGAGGAAAAGAAAUCAACCGAGAUUCCCCCAGUAGCGGCGAGCGAACGGGGAGCAGCCCAGAGUCUGAAUCAGCUUGUGUGUUAGUGGAACGGUCUGGAAAGUCCGACGGUACAGGGUGAUAGUCCCGUACACCAAAAUGCACAGGUUGUGAACUCGAAGAGUAGGGCGGGACACGUGGUAUCCUGUCUGAAUAUGGGGGGACCAUCCUCCAAGGCUAAAUACUCCUGACUGACCGAUAGUGAACCAGUACCGUGAGGGAAAGGCGAAAAGAACCCCGGCGAGGGGAGUGAAAAAGAACCUGAAACCGUGUACGUACAAGCAGUGGGAGCACCUUCGGGUGUGACUGCGUACCUUUUGUAUAAUGGGUCAGCGACUUAUAUUCUGUAGCAAGGUUAACCGUAUAGGGGAGCCGCAGGGAAACCGAGUCUUAACUGGGCGUUAAGUUGCAGGGUAUAGACCCGAAACCCGGUGAUCUAGCCAUGGGCAGGUUGAAGGUUGGGUAACACUAACUGGAGGACCGAACCGACUAAUGUUGAAAAAUUAGCGGAUGACUUGUGGCUGGGGGUGAAAGGCCAAUCAAACCGGGAGAUAGCUGGUUCUCCCCGAAAGCUAUUUAGGUAGCGCCUCGUGAAUUCAUCUUCGGGGGUAGAGCACUGUUUCGGCUAGGGGGUCAUCCCGACUUACCAACCCGAUGCAAACUACGAAUACCGAAGAAUGUUAUCACGGGAGACACACGGCGGGUGCUAACGUCCGUCGUGAAGAGGGAAACAACCCAGACCGCCAGCUAAGGUCCCAAAGUCAUGGUUAAGUGGGAAACGAUGUGGGAAGGCACAGACAGCCAGGAUGUUGGCUUAGAAGCAGCCAUCAUUUAAAGAAAGCGUAAUAGCUCACUGGUCGAGUCGGCCUGCGCGGAAGAUGUAACGGGGCUAAACCAUGCACCGAAGCUGCGGCAGCGACACUAUGUGUUGUUGGGUAGGGGAGCGUUCUGUAAGCCUGCGAAGGUGACCUGUGAGGGUUGCUGGAGGUAUCAGAAGUGCGAAUGCUGACAUAAGUAACGAUAAAGCGGGUGAAAAGCCCGCUCGCCGGAAGACCAAGGGUUCCUGUCCAACGUUAAUCGGGGCAGGGUGAGUCGACCCCUAAGGCGAGGCCGAAAGGCGUAGUCGAUGGGAAACAGGUUAAUAUUCCUGUACUUGGUGUUACUGCGAAGGGGGGACGGAGAAGGCUAUGUUAGCCGGGCGACGGUUGUCCCGGUUUAAGCAUGUAGGCUGGUUGUCCAGGCAAAUCCGGAUAAUCAAGGCUGAGGUGUGAUGACGAGGCACUACGGUGCUGAAGUAACAAAUGCCCUGCUUCCAGGAAAAGCCUCUAAGCAUCAGGUAACAUCAAAUCGUACCCCAAACCGACACAGGUGGUCAGGUAGAGAAUACCAAGGCGCUUGAGAGAACUCGGGUGAAGGAACUAGGCAAAAUGGUGCCGUAACUUCGGGAGAAGGCACGCUGGUGUGUAGGUGAAGCCCCUGCGGGUGGAGCUGAGACCAGUCGAAGAUACCAGCUGGCUGCAACUGUUUAUUAAAAACACAGCACUGUGCAAACACGAAAGUGGACGUAUACGGUGUGACGCCUGCCCGGUGCCGGAAGGUUAAUUGAUGGGGUUAUCCGUAAGGAGAAGCUCUUGAUCGAAGCCCCGGUAAACGGCGGCCGUAACUAUAACGGUCCUAAGGUAGCGAAAUUCCUUGUCGGGUAAGUUCCGACCUGCACGAAUGGCGUAAUGAUGGCCAGGCUGUCUCCACCCGAGACUCAGUGAAAUUGAACUCGCUGUGAAGAUGCAGUGUACCCGCGGCAAGACGGAAAGACCCCGUGAACCUUUACUAUAGCUUGACACUGAACAUUGAGCCUUGAUGUGUAGGAUAGGUGGGAGGCUUUGAAGCGUGGACGCCAGUCUGCGUGGAGCCAACCUUGAAAUACCACCCUUUAAUGUUUGAUGUUCUAACGUUGGCCCCUUAUCGGGGUUGCGGACAGUGUCUGGUGGGUAGUUUGACUGGGGCGGUCUCCUCCCAAAGCGUAACGGAGGAGCACGAAGGUUAGCUAAUCCUGGUCGGACAUCAGGAGGUUAGUGCAAUGGCAUAAGCUAGCUUGACUGCGAGCGUGACGGCGCGAGCAGGUGCGAAAGCAGGUCAUAGUGAUCCGGUGGUUCUGAAUGGAAGGGCCAUCGCUCAACGGAUAAAAGGUACUCCGGGGAUAACAGGCUGAUACCGCCCAAGAGUUCAUAUCGACGGCGGUGUUUGGCACCUCGAUGUCGGCUCAUCACAUCCUGGGGCUGAAGUAGGUCCCAAGGGUAUGGCUGUUCGCCAUUUAAAGUGGUACGCGAGCUGGGUUUAGAACGUCGUGAGACAGUUCGGUCCCUAUCUGCCGUGGGCGCUGGAGAAUUGAGGGGGGCUGCUCCUAGUACGAGAGGACCGGAGUGGACGCAUCACUGGUGUUCGGGUUGUCAUGCCAAUGGCACUGCCCGGUAGCUAAAUGCGGAAGAGAUAAGUGCUGAAAGCAUCUAAGCACGAAACUUGCCCCGAGAUGAGUUCUCCCUGAGACUUUAAGUCUCCUGAAGGAACGUUGAAGACGACGACGUUGAUAGGCCGGGUGUGUAAGCGCAGCGAUGCGUUGAGCUAACCGGUACUAAUGAACCGUGAGGCUUAACCUUACAACGCCGAAG